AGCGGCUCUGAGGAGGCUUCCUCCUGACCUGUUUCUGGCUUCACUGUGGACGGCUUUGGCACCGGUGCGCUCCUGACUGGAAGUCGCGUUCUGGUUGAUAGCUCAGCGCGGGGUUCGCGUCAGCAAGGCUGCCAGAUGUGAAGUGGCUUGAAGAGCCCCGGCGGCAGCAGAUUCCUCAACUUUCCAAUGUGUUGCUGUUUUAUGGAGUGGAGGGGACAGGCUCUGAGAUGUGUUCUGAAGUCCCCAAAUGCUUUCCAAGCCACAGAUGAUGGCUCAAGUAUGUAAUCCCAGCUAAACUGAAUCCUUUGUUUCAUUUCAUUAAGAAAGUAGAGGCAGAAGAAUCGCCAUGAAUCACAGGCCAGCGUGGGAUGCAGUAUGAAACCCUGUUUUUGUGGGUUUUUUUUUUACUUUGUAUUUCUAAAUAUGUGGAUCUCAAUAUAUCAUCAAUCUUUAUAUUUAAUAAAUUAGGGUACAGAUUAUUUGCUAUGUAUCUAAUUUGCUGUUUGUAUAAUACACUGACUUGGUGUAAUACAUUGGGCGGUUCUUGCAUCUGACACCUAUAGCAGUAUUGAAAUAAAAAGAUACAGUGGAUACACCAUGGUGUCCCUGCUACGUAAGAGUCCAAGGCUUACCUCUGUGUCUUAGUGACACUGUCAUAAGCACUGCUUAGCAAAUGUUUACUGUUGAAGCUGGUCCUUUUGGCAUAAGUAUAGCUAUAUUUGUUUCAGGCCUACCAGCCACAUCAUGUCAACAUGUCACUGACAUAAAAGAAUCUCUGUGCAAGGUCAACUUGACCAAAAACUAUGCUUAUGCUCACCAUACUCUGUGGCCUUGUUCCUAGAAAUUCCCUAACCAUAAGCACAGCUGUCCUUAGCCAUAAACUCUACUUGGAACCAAUCAAAUUAAAGGUCAUCUAGAACUGCUUGUCUAAUUAGCAAAAAUAAUGAGUCAGGACUGACCACCCUGUACCACCGUCCACACCCCUACCCCAUAUGUGCUAAUUGUGGUUUUUGCCUUUAUAACCUGACCCUGGAAAACAGGUCAAUGUCACAGUUAGGCUCCCGGGUUCUUCUGUGGCCCUGUUUGCAAUCAGCUUGGAAAAGGCAUCCAAUAAACCUUCCAUAUCUAACUGA